AUUAUUAUUAUUAUUAUUAUUAUUAUUGUCGUCAUUAUCAUUAUUAUUAUUAACUAUUCUUAUUAUUAUGACAAAGAAGUAAAUAUGUUUUUCCGUUUAUUUUUUUAUUCAGCUCUUUUACUUUGUGAAUAAAUUAGUGUGUGAGUAUCUCACCAUUAUGUCACCAUGACCUCCUUAAGCAGUAUCUUAGAGAUUUGCCCACCUUCCCCCCGCUUUGCACAAGAUUUGAAUUUCAUCAACCGUUUUCUGAGCACUUUCAGUUUCAUUUUUACAUCACGUCUGCACGACUCGUAAACGACUUUAUUGUCAGCCACGCUAAUCUUGUAGUUCUAGAGCAAAUAAUAAUACAAGUGAAAACAUAAAAAAGCUUAAACAGACUGGACGCUAAACACACCUUGGUUUAUGGACAUUAUUUGAGAUCUACCGGCUGGAAUUAUUUGGCUAUGCAGAAGUCUAAUUUCACCACACGACAACACCACAAACAUCAGGUGGAGUCAGUAGAGUCAUGGAGUUGGAGGCCAAUCAAAUCCCACAGUAGCCACCUACUCUGCCGUGGAUGCCACUACACCCAGGUUCUAUAUGGACAUUGCUACAUUUUCCCGUGCCACUGAGGACAUCGCUCCUGCUCCGCUGAGGACGUCGCUCCGCCUUCCUGCUCCGCUGAGGACGUCGCUCCGCCUUCCUGCUCCGCUGAGGACGUCGCUCCGCCUUCCUGCUCCGCUGAGGACGUCGCUCCGCCUUCCUGCUCCGCUGAGGACGUCGCUCCACAUUCAAGAAAGGCCAACGAGAUGGCCCACCAAGUCAAGCCCCGUCUAAAGCUUAUGACAUAACUUCCAAAGCCUGGAUCACGCCUAACAACCCCGGCAAACCAGCCCCAGCCUCAUGUCUGCUCCUUGGCUCCUUGGGAAACCUGCAACUUGUUGGACAAUUAUUGCAUUGGAACCUGAGGGGCUGUGUGAACAUUUUGCCCAGAGGGCCAGGACCGCCGGGGGAGGGAGUGUAUUUUGCUACUUCAGGAGAAGCGUCUUUGGGGGGGCGGGGGGCGGGGGCGGGGGGGGCGGGGGGUGAGGGUUACGGUUCAGUCAUAUCACAGCAAACCAGUGACUACAUUUCCCAUACUGCACGGCGGCCUACAAACAUGGCUGCCAUGGACUGCAAUUCCCAGAACACUCACACACAUACACACACACACACACACACACACACACACACACACACACACACACAGAACACUCAUUCUAAUCACACACACCUGCAUCCAAUCUCACACACACUCACAACCACAGUAUAUGAGAGACUUUUAAGGCCCCUGACAUCAGACAGUCUGAACUGUUAGUUGUUAUUGUAUUCUGGUUAUAGUCAUUAAAGUACAGAUUGCUCAAUGCUGGCUGAGGGAAAUUCCCAAAAUACCAGAAAUCCAUUUUGGCACUGUAAUUCUCUGUAAUUAAUUACUCAACCACAUUCUGAUAUGCCAAAAUAUCAGAGGAUCUUGAAUCAGUGGAAUUUACACCCAUUUUAUAUUAUUAGCAGAAACAAGGCUGGGAAAUAAAACAUAAUGAAGGAGGAAAGAUGCAUUGACCAAACUCUUAUACCAAUGCAGUGAACCAGAUAUAGUGAUAGGUGAAACUUAAAUGACAGUUGAAUUUAUUUUAAAACACAGGUGGACCUCAUGCUGCAGCUUAGAGAACAGCUGUAUAAAAAAGAUCACAAGCCCAUUACUUCACAGUAUGGCACUCAAGCAUAAUGCCCAGCCUAUGCAACUGAGUCAUCCAAAUGAGCCAGACAGCAUUUUCUGCAGUGUUUUAGAGUCAAGCCUUGCUUGACUUCCCAUAUCUCCACCGGGGAUCUCUUUUAUCCUGAGCCUGUCUGUACACAUAUGCUGUGGACAACAAAAGAUUCAUUGCAAAGUUUAUUUUGAUUUCUAUCAGAAGAGACAACUGAGCAUUUAAAGAAUAAGUGAGUGUGACUUACUUUUCAAAGCUGGUUCCUCUUUCACCACAUAAUGAGUGAUAAAACAGCCACAAGCCAAAUCACCAAGAACUUUCCCCAACAUUACCAUCACCCACGUGUCCAGUGUUCGGAAGUUAGUGCUCUGGAGGGUGGGGGUAGCCAGAUGAGAAUUCUCCUAGACCUGGAAAAUGUGAUAUAGAAGAAUUAUAUUUAAGAAUAAGAAUAAUAUUUAAGUAUAUUUGCCUCCCCAAUACUGUUGUGUCAGUUAAUUGGUCACAUGUUUUCAUAGCUUUUUAAUUAUGACUACAGUAUAAAGAUAAAGAAAUCUUUAUUGUCACCAUUCUUGCGUACAACAAAAUUUAGUAACACAGUACACAGAAGUAAUAUGUUGGUUGUUACUAUAUACAUCUGGAUCUAAUGCCCUACAGAGCUAUGCAGGGGUGCAUACAACAAUUUGGUGUGAAAAAAAACAACAACAUGAUUUUCUCUUUCUCACUCUCGGACAACCACACACACACACACACACACACACACACACACACACACACACACACACACACACACACACAAUCAAUUCCUAAUCUAAUGUAAUGUAAAGAUGUAAGAUGUAAUUAUUAAUAAAAAAAAAGGGGGGGAUAUAUUCAGAAGUCUGUAUUUUUAAUGUGUUUUAAAGACAUCUUGAAAAAGGGGGGCCUCGGUCAAAUGUUAAUGCCAUUUGAGGGGCCUCGCCCUGGAAAAGUUUGGGAACCCUUGCUCUAACACACGGUCUUAUUUGUCUGAACUUGUCCAGGCAUGUUCGCUGGGCAGGGGGAGGGUACUUUUAAUCCUGAACUCAAGUUGGAGAAAAAUUAAGUUAGCAAGCCAAUUUCAUUGUUACUACAACUUAAAUUUUGCUUUAAAUCAAUUAAAGCAGAAAUUUCAGUUUCAGUGACACACAAUAUUAAGUUGAUGUAAUUAUCAACAUUAUGUCAACACAACUCAUCAAAAAUAAUGUUUUCAAAUUAAAAGGUUUAAUUAAAUCAAUAAAUUUGAAAUUUUGUCUUGCGACCACGCACUUAAAUAAGUUGUGGUAAUAGGUCCUCUGAAUUACUUUUUAAAGUAUGUAAGGACGAGGUUAAACCAGGAUUUUUCUCCAGAUGCCUGGUAGUUUUUGUACAACCCUGUAUAUACACACGCCAGUUUAUAGGCACAAUACAAUAAUUCAGUAAUUAAGAUGUUGCCUUAAACCUAAACCUAAACAUAAACAUAAACCUAAUUAUCUUGUUCCCUCAUGUUACUAAAUUUUGUCCAUGAAAGGGAUGUUGCGGAGCUUGAUAGAUUGCUUAUUAUAAAAUAAUUAUAUAAGCUUAUAAAAUUGGUACUGCAUCACAGACAAGCAGAACUAAAAGAGAAUAUCAGAACUUCAUGCUAUAGCUGCUAUAAUGGAAGUGAACGAAUGCACUAUCUUUACUCUCACUAGCAAACAUGUAUAAAUCUAUGUAUAUGAGCUAUGUAUAAAUCAACACUUAGCUGCACCUAACUGUUGACACAGGAAGUAUAAUUCUGAUAGCUUUAUAUUAUUAUUUUACAGUACAAGGCAGAGAACGGGGAGAGAAGGAUUUUUUUCUUCUUCUUUUAAACAAGUUAAGCAGCUUGACCCUGGUCAUGGUGUGUUCUGAGAUACACAUAAAAUGUACUGAGACAAAAGGGGUGAAAAAAAAGAACAUUAAACUAACAAAAGUGUGUGUGUGUGUGUGUGUGUGUGUGUGUGUGUGUGUGUGUGUGUGUGUGCGUGCUCUUGUGCAUGUGUGUGUGUGUUGGAGCGAUAUGGAGAAAUAUGAGUUAUACCCUUAUUUGACCUAUUUCUGAGAGUGUGUGAUUACCAGAGAGGCAAACAAAACUGGCAACACGAUAGCUGAUUUAGCUGACAAGAUUGGAGAGCUGUGUAGAGACUUUUAGAAGGACAGGUGCUCAAAGUUGAAAAGGGGUGCAUGGAUCAAGAUGUUAGAACACCAACUACUACAACACAACAGCUCAGAUUUUAAUUUCAACUGGCAGAUGAGGACAUGAAAUUACUAAUCUUAGUAGGUAAGUAAGUAAGUAAAUUUUAUUUAUAUAGCACAUUAAACGCAGCAAACCUGGACAACGUGCUGAACAGAGUAAGAAAAAGUUAAAUAGAAAACAGAGUAAAACCAAAUAGAGACAGACAAUAAACAAUAGAUCAAAUUUGAUAAAAACGCCUGGGAGAAGAGAUAUACUUUCAGCCACUUUUUAAAAAUGAUAAUAGAAGUUGCAAAGCAGAUGUCCAGAGGUAAUUGAUUUUUCAUGUUUCAUGCUUUUUGUCAAUUUUUUUUACUGAUAAAUCAUUGUCUGUUGAGGUAUAUUACAGAAGAUUCCUCUGAAAACAGGCUUUCCUAUUCAUGAACGUUAUCAUUUACAUCAUUUGAAUUAAUUAAAACAUGAAGGCUGAUUGCGUUGCCAUCUAAAGUGAAAAUAUAAUGCGCAUCCUUUUCAAUCAUAUGUCCCGCCCACUCACUGUGCUCCUCCUCCCGUCACUUUUCCCCAUGGAAACCUUGACUUGCAACUCGAUUUUGCUGCAGCUUUUUUUGUUUCUUCAAAAUUUUCAAUGCAACUUGUGGGGUUUUUUUCCCCUUUUUUUUGCAGAAAACCUCUUGAAUUGGCGAACUUGAAAUUGCACGAAUUUGUUUAGCAUGGUCAAUCAAAGUCAUGUUUCUUUGUACAUGAGACCUUUUAGCUGUACUCACGUUUGAUGCAUGUGAACCAAAGAGAGCUCUGGCUGAAUGUGCAUUGUGAUGAUGUCACAUGGCGCGACUUGGCCCAAAUCUGCGCAAAAUCUGCGGUAAUUUAGAAAAAUUGCAAAUUCCUCAGAAUAUUUUGGAGCUUGCUUGAUUUUGCUUCAUUUCUCUGAUCGCAAAUUUGCAAAAUCCUGGAAUGACUGUUAUCGCUGUGUUAAUGUGUAGUGUGUGAGUAGUGUGUAAAUUUGUAUUUUGUUGAAUGAGGACAUCCUGUUUUUUAGUUGAAUGAGGACAUCCAGAUCUAAUUUACUUGGCAGAGAUAUGAUCAAUGACGUUAGCUUGUUAACUGCUAAAAGAAUGCUUUUAUUUAUCCUGAUGGGUACGAACAUAUUUCAUUCCAAGAGGUGGCAAAGGGAGAGAAGAGCAUCAUCAGUCAGGUAAGGUAGACAACAGAGACAAACAUUGUAUUUGAAUGAUCUACAUUUCACUGCAGAAUUUCAUUUCACUACCCCUCAGAUCAAUUCUUUAUAACCUGGACCUUAAUCUGCAAUCACAAGACCAACAAAUUACCCAGAUAUGGUAAAAAUGAUGUGAGGGAAAUUAUUAACUUCUUACUUUGUAAUAGCUCUGUUCAUGUUCAUUAGUGAAGAAUGCCACUUGUGGUCAUGUCUUGGAGAUUAGCCCAGAACGUUCUUUCCUCUUACACUGACGCAGUUUAUUGUCUCCAGGAAUGUCUGCACAUCCGCUAAAACCUUGAAACCACCAAACUGGCCCCCAACCUCAUAGAACUCCUAGAAUUUUUCGAGACUCGCAAAUGUCCAGCUCUCCUUAUCUUAAAACUUAUAUAGGGCAUGUGAGAGAGGAGUGCUUCAGAACGCUCUCAUCUUCUACCCUGCAUUCUUCUAUCCUGCAUUCUUCUACCGUUUUCUUCUACCCUGCUUUCUUCUACCCUGCUUUCUUCUGCCCUGCAUUCUUCUAUCCUGUAUUCAUCCUUCUGAAAUAAACCUUUUUCACCUGAGAGGACGAGUCUACUGGUGUUUGUCUAAAUUUCUACCACAAUGUCAAAGCAUUAACCCUUUCACACUUAAGUUUAAAAUAUUCCAACUGGGCCUUGGCGUGAAGUUUUUAAAAUGUAUUUAUUAUUAUUAUUAUUAUUUUUUAAUAUGACCUUUAUUUUUGAACUAUUGCAUUCAGUAGCCUGGUUUAGUAACCAGCACUUUACAGUAAAUUUAAAUACACAGCUGCCCAUAGUACUUCAUUACUUCCUGUUUUUUCUUUCUUCCAGCAACCUCACAUCUCUCUCUAUCAGACAUGCAAACCCACACUCUCACAAUAGAUACUUACUCUUGGGUUUUUUGAUUAACACAUGCCUUCCUGCACUGCUUGUGAAGACAGCCUGAGCCUCUUUUGAUCUUUUUCUAGAACAGCUUUUAAUAUACAGCUGCAGGAAAUAUUGCUGCCCAUUUUUCCUUCCUACCAAAAGCUUUUUGUCUUUGCUAUUCGCAAUACUCAAAAGGAAAUAACCUAAUUUGACUUCCUUAUACACUAUACCACAUUGACUUCUGAGCUGCUCUUGUAAACUGAACUUGGUCUCGUAUUUGCUAAACUGAACUUGGUCUUGUAAUUGUUAAACUGAACUUGGUCUCGUAUUUGCUAAACUGAACUUGGUCUUGUAAUUGCUAAACUGACUUUCUCAUGCUGAUUUCUCCUUGUGAUAUUUUUCUCCCAUUCAGACAGAAAAGAGGAAGUUGGAGAUGGGCUUGAAUCAACUCAAAACAUUUCUUUAUUUUCCCUUUUCCGCUGUUCAGCAUUUUCACACACAUACACACACAGACGUGCUUAUACUGAUCAAGAUGCAAGAUGGUGCCAGUGUAUCUGUCAGCAUGCUGUCGUUCUUGUCUUUCCCGUGUAUUACAGUUUGUUGUAUCUGUUGUCUGUUCAUCUGGCAUCUGUGCUGUUUUUACUUUUCGUCGUGCCACACUGGUAUCGUAUAGACUCAGUGUUGACCUAUGAUCGUCAAGCUUUGCUCAACAUCAAAAGCUGUAUGGUAGCUCAUCUGGGAUUUGGUCCUGCUCUGCAUUCUCAUUGUCAAUCCUCAUCUUGCCAACCCGCAUCGGAGUGCGCUCGCUGGCUACCUUGCUGUGUUCCUCCUCUAAGGAAAGUGCCACAGGAAGAGAGGGAAUCAUGGUGGUGUUUGGGUGAGAAUCAGUUCCUCCAUUCAAUCGAGUUUGUUUACUAUAAGCUUGGAGGGACUCAACUUGAUGGAAGCGAUUGCUCAUGGGAUUACAGAUAUGUUUUUCAUCUGACUAUUUCCCCAGAUUUCCUACACUCAUCUAAUUGCUCUGUUCCUCCACGAUUACGGAUUCGUCAUAGAGGAGUAGACUGUUUAAAUCUCUGCCAACUGGAAUGCGUUCAACCGGAUCUGGCCUCGUUACCUCAGUCUCCUCUGAAUAUGACCCUAGUUAAUGCUAGGUCUGUGUGCAACAAAAUGUUUAUUUGAUAUGACUUUUAUAGCAUGAGUUAUAGCAUGGGAGCAGCAGUGAGACAUCAAGAACCAUCCCUGAACAAAGGGCUACGUGACUGUAUUUAGCAUUCAGAAAGACAUCUGUCUCGCAAGCUCUACCACCUCAACAUUUGGGGUUACACCUGUAACAACAUCUGUACUGUGAGAACGGAAAGCGAUCACAUCAAAUGCUAUCCUUAAUUUACGUUGAGAAUGAAACUUCAUUUACAUUACAAACAGAAAACCUGGUUUGAAACACAGUAUAAAAUGUCUGUGCUGAUACUGUUCGGAGUUCACUUUGACGCCGACGAACCCAAAGUGCUUCAUGUACUUUGUCCCUUCCAUGCUGUAAUAAAGUUCUUUUUCUUUGA